CUGGUUGAUCCUGCCGGAGGCCAUUGCUAUCGGAGUCCGACUUAGCCAUGCUAGUUGUGCGAGUUUAGACUCGCAGCAGAUAGCUCAGUAACACGUGGCCAAGCUACCCUGCAGACACGGACAACCUCGGGAAACUGAGGCUAAUCCGCGAUACCGAUCCCAGGCUGGAACAGCCGGGAUCAUCAAACGCUCCGGCGCUGCAGGAUGCGGCUGCGGCCGAUUAGGUAGACGGUGGGGUAACGGCCCACCGUGCCGAUAAUCGGUACGGGUUGUGAGAGCAAGAGCCCGGAGACGGAAUCUGAGACAAGAUUCCGGGCCCUACGGGGCGCAGCAGGCGCGAAACCUUUACACUGCACGCAAGUGCGAUAAGGGGACUCCGAGUGCGAGGGCAUAUAGUCCUCGCUUUUGAGAACCGUAAGGCGGUUCUCGAAUAAGAGCUGGGCAAGACCGGUGCCAGCCGCCGCGGUAAUACCGGGCAGCUCAAGUGAUGGCCAAUCUUAUUGGGCCUAAAGCGUCCGUAGCUGGCCGUGAAAGUUCGUCGGGAAAUCCAUCCGCCUCAACGGAUGGGCGUCCGGCGAAAACUUCACGGGCUUGGACCGGAAGGCUCGGGGGUACGCCUGGGGUAGGAGUGAAAUCCUGUAAUCCUGGACGGACCGCCGAUGGCGAAAGCACCUCGAGAAGACGGAUCCGACAGUGAGGGACGAAAGCUAGGGUCUCGAACCGGAUUAGAUACCCGGGUAGUCCUAGCCGUAAACAAUGUUCACUAGGUGUGGCACAGGCUACGAGCCUGUGCUGUGCCGUAGGGAAGCCGAGAAGUGAACCGCCUGGGAAGUACGUCCGCAAGGAUGAAACUUAAAGGAAUUGGCGGGGGAGCACUACAACCGGAGGAGCCUGCGGUUUAAUUGGAUUCAACGCCGG
rnacentral:rRNA from 1 species